rnacentral:rRNA from 1 species
UACGUAGGGUGCGAGCGUUGUCCGGAAUUAUUGGGCGUAAAGAGCUUGUAGGCGGUUUGUCGCGUCUGCUGUGAAAAUCCGGGGCUCAACCCCGGACUUGCAGUGGGUACGGGCAGACUAGAGUGUGGUAGGGGAGACUGGAAUUCCUGGUGUAGCGGUGGAAUGCGCAGAUAUCAGGAGGAACACCGAUGGCGAAGGCAGGUCUCUGAGCCACUACUGACGCUGAGAAGCGAAAGCAUGGGGAGCGAACAGG